UACGGGGGGGGUAAGCGUUGUUCGGAAUUACUGGGCGUAAAGGGCUCGUAGGCGGCCAACUAAGUCAGACGUGAAAUCCCUCAGCUUAACUGGGGAACUGCGUCUGAUACUGGAUGGCUUGGAUUCGGGAGAGGAAUGCGGAAUUCCAGGUGUAGCGGUGAAAUGCGUAGAUAUCAGGAGGAACACCGGUGGCGAAGGCGGGUCUCUGGGCAGUAACUGACGCUGAGGAGCGAAAGCGUGGGGAGCGAACAGG
rnacentral:rRNA from 1 species